GGUGUGAGCCAGGUCGGUUCUUAUCUAGUGAAAGUUUUUGGUGGUACGAGAGGAUGCCA
rnacentral:tRNA from 1 species